GGGGAUGGGGCUCAGUAGGUAGAGUGUUUACCUAGUAUGCAUGAAGCCCUGGGUUCCAUUCCCAGCAUGUCUG
rnacentral:tRNA from 1 species